GAGAUUCAUGUAGUCGUCUUCAAAGGAGCUUUCUGUCUCAUAUGGGUUGUCAGGGUUGCUUUUUGGGAAAAAGGUCUUGGAGAGCUUUGGAUGCUUACAGUUGGGACCACGGCAAGGUGGAUAAGGACAAUCUCUUCGGUAUCCGGGUUUGGAAGGUGAUGGCUGAGACUUGGGGCUUGGCAUCUGAGUGGCUUUGUCAGCUUUGGAGGGUUGUGAUGAGGAUC
rnacentral:lncRNA from 1 species